rnacentral:tRNA from 1 species
GGUUCCAUAGUGUAACGGUUAACAUGUCUGCUUUGCACGCAGAAGGUUCUGUGUUCAUGCCCCUGUGGAGCCA